AAAUCCUUUAAGAGUAGUCCCGUGAGGCUAAAAAGGAGUUAGUGUUUUGCAUCAAUUCGCUUUAAAUUGUAAAUGAAAGGUUCUCUGCAACCUUAUUUACAAUUUAGAUAAGUCUAAUUGUUCGUUUAACUCCUAUCCAAAAACAGGUAGGAGUUUUUUUAUU
rfam:Melissococcus plutonius ATCC 35311 DNA, complete genome.